GUACAUAAUAGAAAUAUGAACAUCAAUUUGUGUCGCAUUUUGUAAAUUAAUCGGUGUCUACAUUUCUUUUUUUUUUUUAUUAUUAUACUCAUAUAUUUACUUCCUUAUUUAUAUUUGUUUUUGGCUGUUUCAGUCCUCUGCAUACCUUCAAUUUUCUCAUCUUACUUUGUUUUGCCCCCCCUCCCUUUACUCCUUUAUGCAAAAAUCAAAGUAUAGUUAGUACUACUAAUUUUACUUACUAUCCUAAUGCAGUGGAUCGUCUUGACUCCAUAUGUGAUAUUAACGCACAAAUACAAAGAUACAAAGAAACUCAGCUAAAUACAGUCCACUCCUCUUAAAUGGAAGCUGCUCAGGACUGCUUUAAAAGCUUUCUGGGUUUUAUCGUGCAGAUAAAAAAAUUCAUUAACAAAGCAACAUAACGGCUGAAAUGCAGCUGGCGAUUCAUACCCAGUCCUAAAUGCGUGUAAUUGCAGAUUAUUGUGCAAAUCCUGUUGUGCAUCAGUCAGGAGUGGACUGUACACCUGCUACUGGUGCUCACAGUGUCCUGCCUGAGUGCCAGUAGUACUAAUAGCUCUGCUGAGUGCUGUGUUGUCUGCACUAUUUCUCUAAUCGUUCUUUCUCCUUUUUUCCUUUUACCUGUCCGUGGGUCUCGUCAUCCUGCGGUCCUCCCCCCACCCCCCUUCUGUCUUUCUCAAUGUGUCUCACCCCUUCUUUCCCUCUCUUCUUUAUCCACUAUUCGUCUUCUCCCGCUCUCUUCUGUCCUUGUCUCUUUCUAUCUCUAUACAGGACUCCAAACGUUUCCUCCAAUGGCAACCCUGGCUAUGAGAGCCUACCCUUGACUGACAGGCAGUCCCCACCCCCCUCUUACUCUCCCAGCAUGCUGACUGGUUACGGGGGAAGUCAAUCACACCCCAACCCCGCCCAUUCGAGGAACCUGUAUUCACGUUGAUUAUUAUUAUUUUUUGUUAGGAAAUGUAUAGAAAAAAAAUGUUUAGUUUUCUUAUGAAUGGACACUUUAAUGAAAUGAAAAAGAAACUAAUCUAAAUAAAAUGAAUGCUAGGUGUCAAAGUGCGUAACGUCAGUACCACUGAGUAUUAUCAUUAUUACUAGUAUUAUUAUUAUUAUUAAAAGCACUUAAAAGAUACAGCCGACAGUGAUUCUGCUGCUUGGUUAUGCUUUAAACCAAGUGUGCUUGGCCUAAAUUCCUCCCUCCCUUUUGUCCAAACUGUGUAAACUGUGGUGAGCCAAGUCAGAAUGGUAUUGACGUUACUACGUUGUAGUUUUAUAUUCUUAAAUGUAUCUGUACCACCACUUUAUUUUCGAGUUUUUAUAUAAAUAUUGUUGUAGAAAAGCACUGGCACGUAGCAACAAGACACAUUUUUUUCUGUGAAUGGUUAUGCAGUUCCUUCACUUGGUAUGAUUUUUUUUUUUAAAUUACUUUUUAUAGGUGGCGAUUCUGUAUUUUCCUCGUAUUACCUUAUGGUACUCUGUAUAUCUCUCACUGUCUGUAAUAUCUGAAUAAUCAUGAAUCUUUGCUCUUUAAAAAAAAAACAAACAAACAAAAAAAACUUGAGGGCUGCCGUGACUCUGUUUUAAUGACGGAACGGAGAACCGCCACUCAAUCUCUGAGGGUGGAGAACUAGAAAUCCCACGCCAUGACAGCAGGUACAUAGCAAUAUGAAUCUUGCUACUGGUGCUGCAGUAGCCCUACCAUAACUAGCAAUAAUAACUAUGUAUAGCGUUGGAUUUCUGAGAUCUCUCCAAGAAGUUUUUGUGUAUAUAUGGUACCAGUGUGAGAUUUCAUCGAAUCCCUCCCUCUCUGACCCCGUUAACCCUUGAAUUGAGUUUGUAUGGUUAUCAAUGCUCCUUUUGAAUGGCAUCCUUUUACACUCGAGAGUCUAAUAUAAAUAAAAAUAACUUCAAUAACC